rnacentral:rRNA from 1 species
GGAUGCGAUCAUACCAGCACUAAAGCAUCGGAUCCCAUAAGAACUCCGAAGUUAAGCGUGCUUGGGCGAGAGUAGUACUAGGAUGGGUGACCUCCUGGGAAGUCCUCGUGUUGCAUUCC